rnacentral:misc_RNA from 1 species
CCUAGCAUCAAAAACUUGCCAGCUAAAGCUGAAACUGCUGCAACUGAAAAGAAAGCCUCUCCAUCUCCCAAUGGUGGGGAACCGGACAGUAAACCCGCCACUGAAGUAACACAGUCGGGAGAGACAUCCCAAUAAAUCGUAAAAGCAUUAUAACUGGGCAUGUUAUUGUGUUAUAUCAAAUUUUAUUAUAUUUAUACAUUUAAUUUUAUACUUACUUCAUAGGAGUAACAGAUGUGCAUUAUUGUGAGCUUUUCCACAUAUUUUAUUUGUAAUGUAAGGCAUACUGCUGAGGUCUGUCAAAAUGUUGAGCUUUGUUGUUUAUCAUCAGUGUGAUGUCAUAUCCUAGCUGAAUUUGUACAGAUGUCAUGGAAUCUUUGUAAAUAGUCAUAAAUCUGUAAAGAAAUUCAAUAAGCAUACACUGUGACAGGUGAUUUUACAUACCUAGACACUAGCAGUUCUUCCGCUAUUCUAUUGCUGAUGAUAAAGAAAAGUGUUAACACAAAUGAAACUCGAAGACACUUUACAUUACAGUGAAUGAGUAAUCGGGUCUCUGUGAAACUUUUUAAUGGUCAAUUUUAACAUUUAAGGUGUGUGAUUGAUUUUAUGAAGGAUUUGUUUUAUUGAGUUCUAGUUGUCAGAACUUUUGAGCUCUUAAAGAAAUGUGAAAUCUUGUUACAUUGACCUUGACAGAAGUAUAAGGAAGGGAAAGACAUUCACAGGAAGGAUGUGAACGGAGAUAAUUCAGCACCCCAAGCCGAGAAAUGGGAUGUGAAAUUGGAGGGGAAGAGCUGAGUCCUGCCCCAGGCUCUGUCUCUACUCCCCUAACAGACUCGGGUGUAGGUAACCUGCCCUUUCCUCGCCCUUAUCUAAGUAUGUGAUGUGUGGACAGUAUAUAUAUUAAUGUAUUUAGAUGUUGUUUUUUCCCUCUCACAUGUUCUUUUUUUUAUUAGUUGUUUUCACAUAUUGUCCAAGGACACUAAGCAUGAUGAGUGUUUUAUCAUUGAGUCUGUCUGAACUUGACGUGAUCAGUAUGCGGAGAGAGUCUUGACAUAUUUAUCAGUAUGUGAGGGAUUCAUGUUGCGUCAGUUUUGAAGACAGUCUUAUGAUGAUAGGUGUGUUGAUUAUAUAAGCCAAAGAAUGCUAUUAAAAAUGUAAUGAUGAGCACAGAGGGAUUUUUGUUGUGGAAAAAUUAGUUUUAUUCAUUUGUGACCUUGAAAAAUCUCAGCUUGUAAACUAUGUAGCUCAUUGAAAUAAUAAAGGGCUAUGUAAAAGU